UCCUAGUUGGCCCUGAUCUCCCACGGCUGUCGUGUCUUAUGCCUUCAUUUUUUGGACUGUGAGCCUCACUACCUGCAACAGAUAAAGUGAAGAUUCCCGGGCUCUGCGCAAGCGGGGUCUGCCGGGAGCCCUCAGGGUGGAGCCCGGGAAUCGGAAUUUUAAACAGCGCCCGGGUGGCUCUUGGGCACACGCAAGUUGGAGAGUUGUUAGGCCAUACCUCCCUGAGCUGAUGUGACCUUAAGUGACCACAAUCAGGAUUUUUGGACAGCAUGUGGGACGCUGCCUCAGCAUGGCCUGAUAAGUGGUGCCAUGUCCGCGCCGAGGAUCCAAACCAGCAAAACCCUGGGCCGCCAGAGCAGAGCAUGAGAACUUCACCACUCGGCCGUGGGGCUGGCCCCUAAGCCAAUGAUUCUUAAACACUUUAUGCAACAGGAGUGUUUGGUGGAUCUUACGUGGUAUUGUACUGGAAGGAAGAGUUAAGCCUUCGAUUCCCCAAGCUGUUGAAAGGAUCCAGUCUUCCCCAGUGCUGUUGCCAUCUUCCAGGGAAGUGUCUUUGACUUUGGUCUUGAAGAGAGUUUUAUCCCCCCAUGUCACAGGAUCCUAAUGUUGGGACCUCAGGUAUCAUCUAGUUCAACACUCUCUUUUUAAAUGUUUUUGGUGGUUAUCUAAUAUGUUUUUUAUUUCCAAUUUUUCUUUCUGCCUUCUACCUACCCUCCCAUCCUUGCUCUUUGAUUAGCUAAGCUGGAAGUUCUCAAAUUUUUGGUCUCAGGACUGUAAAUUUUUAUAAACACACCUAAAAAUUGUUGAUGACCCCAAAGAGGUUUUGAUCAUGUGGGUUUCACUAUCAAUAUUUUAGAAGCUAAAAUUGAGAAAUUUUAAAAAUAUUUGUUACCUCAUUUAAAACAGUAAGUCCACUACAUGUUAACAUAGAUUAUAUAAUAUAGCCCACUGUGUGUGCAGGUGUCAUCUGGCCCUCUUCACAUUGCCCUGUGGGAAAUGGGGUUCAGAAGACCAGCACAAAUGUUGAUACUCUGUCUACUGCUAUGGCCUUGGGUAAUAAAC
rnacentral:lncRNA from 1 species